CGACUUAUCAAAACUGACAGGAUUCCCGGUAC
rnacentral:scRNA from 1 species